rnacentral:misc_RNA from 1 species
UCCGAGUUGACCCCGGCAGUCUCCUAUGAGUCCCCGCCAUAACGCGCUGGCAACAUAGAACGAGGGUUGCGCUCGUUGCGGGACUUAACCCAACAUCUCACGACACGAGCUGACGACAACCAUGCACCACCUGUAAACCGACCGCAAGCGGGGCACCUGUUUCCAGGUAUUACCGGUUCAUGUCAAGCCUUGGUAAGGUUCUUCGCGUUGCAUCGAAUUAAUCCGCAUGCUCCGCCGCUUGUGCGGGCCCCCGUCAAUUCCUUUGAGUUUUAAGCUUGCGCUCGUAGUUCCCAGGCGGGACACUCGGCAUCUGGCGCCGAUUAUCUCGGCGCUGGGUGCC